rnacentral:ncRNA from 1 species
GAAGAUGUCUAUUACAGAUCCUAAUUGAAGUAGCGAUUAUCCAGGCUUGUAUCCUGGGGGCUGAUGAGGAGUAGGGUUUCUGGACAACUUAAACAGAUCCAGAGUUAGUCGAUCCUAAUCUCAAUAAUGGGAGAAAGGGAGUACAGUUGAUAUUCUGUAACUGACAACAGUUCGCGGCAACGCAUACUAUUUUUCUCCGCCAAUCUUAUACCGUUGGUAGGGAUCUCUUUCCUACAUGACAGUACUAAUACCCAGGGAAACUGGUCAUCAGGCGAACUGCGGCGUUCUGCUGGCAAAACAUAGCUUCGGUUAUGUCAAUGGCUAUUGGAUUGGUCCAUGAAGCGAAAAAUAGUUUACUGUGUCACUCGUACCGAUAACCGCAUCAGGUCUUCUAGGUAAGUAGCCUAUGGCCAUUGAGGCAUGAUAGUUCAGGGAAUUCGGCCAAUUAGAGCUGUAACUUCGGGAUAAAGCUUGGCUCUGAUGAAAAUCAGAACCGAUUGUUACGCGGAGAGCCCAACUGUUUAAUAAAAACGUAGUGUCGCGCUGUGGUAGUAUAGCCAGUGAACGCGACAUGAAUCCUGCUCAGUGCUGUGUCUGUUAAUAUGGUUCAAGCCAACGAAGCACCGGUAAAUAGCUGGGGUAACUAUGACUCUUAUCAAAGUAGCGAAAUACCUCGUCACUUAAUUAGUGACCUGCAUGAACGGAGCUAUGAGGUUCUCACUGUCCCAAACUGUCUCUCAGCGAACCAACUGUAGUGGGAACGGUCACUAGAUAUCCAGCGGGGAAAGAAGACCCUGUAGAGCUUCACUUUGGUCUAGUCUUGUAUAGUUCCUGCGGGGGUGUAGACUAGGUGGGAGAGCAAUCGAUUCUGAAAAACCACUACCCUGUUUGGAAUUAUGCUUACCUAUCACAAGGAAUAGGACUAGAUAGAAAGUUUGGCUGGGGCGGCACACCUUCGAAAGAGCAGCGAAGGUGUCCUAAGUUGAGCUCAGUGAGGACAGAAAUCUCACGUUGAAGAUAAGGGCAAAAAGCUCAUUUACUGUGCCCUUUUUGUACUAGGAUCA